GCAGCUUAAGCUGGUUGAUGAAAAACCCGUUGAUUUGGAGUCAAGGGACUCCAAGAGCCAGCGCUUCUACUCAUGACUUGAUGGGACGUAGGGGUCUUGGAUCAUAAACAUAUUGAUUUUACAUCAAAAGGACAAGGUGGACAAUCACCACGAACAGAACACUCUGCAGAGAGGGGAGACACAGCGGAGACCUUUGGUUUUGCUGAAUCAUCUUGGAAAAUGUUAAUGCUGCACUGGGAAAGGCCAAAGGGACUUGUCUGCUUAAUUCAGUUCGUUAAAAUGGAAGACCACCUGGACUGGGUGUCAGGCAAUCUGGGUCUAGUCCCCAGCUUUGUUCUUCAUUCAUUCUGUGAUCUUGAGCAAAUUGCAGAGAAUGACAUCAUCUUGUCU